UACAUGUGGGGCAAGCGUUGUUCGGAAUUACUGGGCAUAAAGGGUGCGUAGGCGGCUUGUUAAGUCAGGGGUGAAAGUUUUCGGCCCAACCGGAAAAUUGCCUUUGAUACUGGCGAGCUUGAGUGCGUGAGGGGUAACCGGAACGAGUGGUGUAGCGGUGAAAUUCGUAGAUAUUCGCAAGAACACCAGUGGCGAAGGCGGCUCACUGGCCCGGUACUGACGCUGAGGUGCGAAAGCGUGGGGAGCAAACAGG
rnacentral:rRNA from 1 species